GUAGAUAAUAGAAAGGAGUUUUUUUUCCUUACGUUUUUUUUCUCUUUAUUUAUUUUUAUUUUUAUUUUUUUGUGGGAAUGGAAAGCUGUUAAUUGGUGACCGUAUUCAUCGGUUGUGCCUUUAAUGCUGGUACAUAUUCUCACCUCGUCGAUUCGUUUAAACAAAGUGAUUUCAUUCCACAUCAAGAGAGCCAUCCAAGUCCGACACCCCCAUCGAAUCAGCAGGACGAAGACUCGUUUUCUUCACUUCUUGAGGUAAAGAGAGCAUGGCGAAUGGAGCUCCAAGUUGGGCGGAUCAGUGGGGCGCUGGCGGACUGAACGACGACGACGACUACGACGACAAGAACAAGGAGAGCGGGAAAGACAACAAGAAGAUGGAGAAGGCGAAGGCGUUCGCUUCUUCGAGCUUCGGGAAGGCUAAAGCGGCUGCAGCGGUUGGAGCAAGCAAGGCCAAGAGCGGCACCACCACGGGCAUCAAAUGGAUGAAGGCGCAGUACCAGAAGAGAACGUCUAAAUGAAUGGAUCGCCCAUCGCUAUUAUGACACCCAUGAUAACUGAUGAUAGACAUGAUUUUCCUUUCUUUUAAACCUCUUUUGGAGGAUGCCACCUUGUUUGUUUCAUAAUCUCCAUCAAACAUUUCUGGUUGAGUUUAAUUUGCUUGCUUGAUCUUAUUUCAAUGCCUGGGUGGAAUUUUAACAUCAACACUGCACCCACUUCAACGCUCCCCCUUUCUUUCAUCCUUCCGUCGCCGGAAAUGGAUACAAAUUUAUUUUAUUUUAUUUUAUUUUAUUUUCUGGCUAAAUAAAAAGCGACUGAGCAUUGUGCACAUGUAAAGGGAGCAAGCCAUUAGUUACGUCAAUUCUUCUUCUAGGAAUAUCAUCGAGCAUGUCGUGCUCCAACCUUGCCCCGAUGUGGGCUUCUUCGGCGAAUCCGCCCCACCUCGAUCGCUUCUCCCCUAUCGCCUUCUUCUCAGCCUUGCGCCUCCCAUCUGCCGGCGCCUCGACGCGGCGAUUUCGUUCCGCCACCACUAUAAGUUGCGGCUUACGCGAGCUGAGGAAUCGCAUCGACUCCGUCAAGAACACGCAAAAGAUCACGGAGGCCAUGAAGCUGGUGGCUGCCGCCAAGGUCCGCCGUGCCCAGGAAGCCGUCGUCAAUAGCCGCCCCUUCUCCGAGACCCUCGUCGAGGUGCUCUACAGCCUCAACGAACGGCUGCAGACGGAGGACGUGGACGUGCCCCUCACCCGAGUCCGCCCCGUCCGGAAGGUCGCCCUCCUGGUGGUCACUAGCGAUCGUGGCCUUUGCGGCGGCUUCAACAACGGCAUCAUCAAAAAGGCGGAACAGCGCAUCGCCGAGCUGUCCGCCCUUGGCAUAGCUUACACAGUUAUCAGCGUGGGGAAGAAGGGCGGCACCUACUUCCAACGCCGCCCUUACAUUCCCGUCGAUCGCUUCCUCGAGGCGGGCAACCUGCCUACCACUAAGAAGGCGCAGGCCAUUGCUGAUGAGGUAUUCUCCCUCUUCGUCAGCGAGGAGGUCGACAAGGUAGAGCUUCUCUACACAAGAUUCGUUUCCCUCGUCAAGUCUGACCCCGUCAUCCAAACUCUCCUCCCGCUCUCCCCAAAAGGCGAGAUCUGCGAUGCCAACGGGGUCUGCGUUGACGCCGCGGAGGACGAGUUCUUCCGCCUCACCACCAAGGAGGGGAAGCUCACGGUGGAGCGGGAGACGGUGCGGAUCCCAACGCCUUCCUUCUCUCCAAUCAUGGAGUUCGAGCAGGACCCGGUGCAGAUCUUGGACGCCCUGCUGCCUCUGUAUCUCAACAGCCAGAUACUGAGGGCCCUGCAGGAGUCACUAGCGAGUGAGGUUUCGGCGAGAAUGGCUGCCAUGAGCAACGCCACUGACAACGCCGUGGAGCUGAAAAGGACGCUAGCCAUCUCCUACAACCGGGAGCGACAGGCGAAGAUCACCGGGGAGAUAUUGGAGAUCAUUGCCGGUGCGGAUGCUCUUUCCUGAUCUGUUUGUUCCAUGGAUCAAGACUCCAUUUCUCUCUUGUCCUGUCUGGCCUUGCAUCUUCUUAUGCUGUGAAAGAAAAAGCAGGGGAAUCAGGAAUGACGAUUUUCCGGUGUUCGACAGAGGCUGAGCAUGCAGGAAAUUAUUGAUAAGAAUGAGAGAAUAAAUUUAUUUCUAAAUUUUAUGUUUAAUUGAUGGGAAUGAAAUCUUGAGUUUA